GAUGAACGCUGGCGGCGUGCCUAAUACAUGCAAGUAGAACGCUGAAGGAGGAGCUUGCUCUUCUGGAUGAGUUGCGAACGGGUGAGUAACGCGUAGGUAACCUGCCUGGUAGCGGGGGAUAACUAUUGGAAACGAUAGCUAAUACCGCAUGACAACAGUUAUUGCAUGAUAACUGUUUAAAAGGGGCAACUGCUCCACUACCAGAUGCACCUGCGUUGUAUUAGCUAGUUGGUGAGGUAACGGCUCACCAAGGCGACGAUACAUAGCCGACCUGAGAGGGUGAGCGGCCACACUGGGACUGAGACACGGCCCAGAAUCCUACGGGAGGCAGCAGUAGGGAAUCUUCGGGAAUGGACGGAAGGCUGAACGAGCAACGCCGGGUGAGUGAAGAAGGGUGUCGGAUCGGAAAGCUCUGUUGUAAGAGAAGAACGAGAGUGAGAGUGGAAAGUGCACACUGUGACGGUAUCUGAACAGAAAGGGACGGCUAACUACGUG
rnacentral:rRNA from 1 species